GAGCCAGAGCUCCCUGCUUCCCCACCCUACCAUUUCUGCUUCACUGAAACAAUCGUCUCUCUCGAGCUCCCCCGGUACAAGACACUAAUCAAAACUGCCCUUGGAUGAUCCAGCUGACUUUGCCUAAAUUCAGUUCUCUUCCGCGCUGGCCAUCCGCUCCAGCAUCCCAGUGUCCAGCCAGGAUCCUGUGAGAAAGAAAGUUCUCUGAUUCAUCUACACCCAGAUGAUUCUCCGGCGAACACAAACACAGAGAAGAAAAAUGGGGCAGGGGGGCGGAAACAGUGUAUGGUAUGAGAGUGGCCACAAGACUGAAAAAUGACAGAUGUGAACAGCCCAGACCAGCUCACUGCGUCAGGGACAGCAUUUUAAGAGAAAUAGUGCUGCAGAAAGAGAAGAUAAAUUCUAGAAGGACACUGCACCAGAUACAGGAAGGAAAGGCAGGUCAAGGACUUGGAUAUCAAGGAUGGAGAAUGAGGAACUUGAUCAGACAUGAAGGUUGGGGGGAUCCUCCCCAAACUCUCUUAGCAGGAUUCUUUGCUGAAACUGGACUCGGCAGGCCAAGGACAAGGCAGAAGGCCAAGGUCAAGGUCUAGUCAAGAAGAGGACUAAGAGGAGCCUGACAAAAAUUGGGUCAAAGAGGGAGUCUU